rnacentral:rRNA from 1 species
UGCCAGCCGCCGCGGUAAUACGGAGGGGGUUAGCGUUGCUCGGAAUCACUGGGCGUAAAGCGAGCGCAGGCGGCUAAAUAAGUCGGGUGUGAAAGCCCGGGGCUCAACCCCGGAACUGCAUCCGAAACUGUUUAGCUAGAGUACAGAAGAGGAAGGGGGAAUUCCAGGUGUAGAGGUGAAAUUCGUAGAUAUCUGGAGGAACACUCGUGGCGAAGGCGCCUUUCUGGUCUGUUACUGACGCUCAUGCUCGAAAGCGUGGGGAGCAAACAGGAUUAGAUA